AGUGAACGCUGGCGGUAGGCCUAACACAUGCAAGUCGAACGAGUGGCGGACGGGUGAGGAAUACAGCGGAAUCUCUGCUGUCGUGGGGGAUAACGUAGGGAAACUUACGCUAAUACCGCAUACGAAUGAAUGAGCCGAUGUCGGAUGAGCUAGUUGGCGGGGUAAAGGCCCACAAAGGCGACGAUCCGUAGCUGGUCUGAGAGGAUGAUCAGCCACAUUGGAACUGGGACACGGUCCAGACUCCUGCGGUAGGCAGCAGUGGGGAAUAUUUGACAAUGGGCGCAAGCCUGAUCCAGCCAUACCGCGAGGGUGAAGAAGGCCUUCGGGUUGUAAAGCCCUUUUGUUGGGAAAGCGGUACCCAAAGAAUAAGCACCGGCUAACUUCGUGCCAGCAGCCGCGGUAAUAC
rnacentral:rRNA from 1 species